CGUAGGGUCCAAGCGUUAUCCGGAAUCACUGGGCGUAAAGCGUGCGUAGGUGGCGCGUUAAGUGAGAUGUUAAAACGUGGGGCUCAACCCUGUCGGUGCAUCCCAUACUGGCGUGCUAGAGGACAGCAGAGGCAAGUGGAAUUAGCAGUGUAGCAGUGAAAUGCGUAGAUAUUGCUAGGAACACCAAUGGCGAAGGCAGCUUGCUGGGCUACUCCUGACACUGAGGUACGAAAGCGUGGGGAGCGAACAGGAUUAGAUACCCUGGUAGUCCACGCCGUAAACGAUGCAUACUAGACGUAUGGGGUAUCGACCCCCUGUGCGUCGAAGCUAACGCGAUAAGUAUGCCGCCUGGGAAGUACGGCCGCAAGGCUA
rnacentral:rRNA from 1 species